UACGGAGGGUGCGAGCGUUGUUCGGAAUUACUGGGCGUAAAGCGCGUGUAGGCGGCCUUCUAAGUCUGGUGUGAAAGCCCGGGGCUCAACUCCGGAAGUGCAUUGGAUACUGGGAGGCUGGAGUACCGGAGAGGAGGGUGGAAUUCCUGGUGUAGCGGUGAAAUGCGUAGAUAUCAGGAGGAACACCGGUGGCGAAGGCGGCCCUCUGGACGGAUACUGACGCUGAGACGCGAAAGCGUGGGGAGCAAACAGG
rnacentral:rRNA from 1 species